rnacentral:rRNA from 1 species
UGGCUUAUCUAUAUUGUAAAGAAUUUCAUAUUUUGCACCAAAAGCCCGUGGUCGCCGUUCAAAACUCCUCUUCUGACUCAGUUUAGCAGGGUUAUCUUGAUUUCUAGAUAUUUUAUAGAAUCAAUUUUUGAAUGGUUGUUAUUCUUUGAGGCCUGCUCCGAGGACAUUGCGAGGCAUGGCGUUUGACUGAGGCGGUACACCUUUAAAAUGAUAACGCAGGMGUCCRAAGACCKGCUAAGUACGGGAAGAAAUCMCACGUAGAGUAAAAUGGCAAAUACUGCCUUUKCCUCUCCCUUCAGUACGGGGCGAGGAGGAGAAAUGUCAGCCUAUCGGUCCUCUUUAUUUAAGAGCUUUUAGAAAGAAAUGCCAGAAA